rnacentral:rRNA from 1 species
AUGUACCUAUCCCACGAUGAUGCAUGGUGGACUGUUGGCCGUUUCGAGGACAACCACAAUCACCCCCUGAUCAAAAAUCCGUCCCUAACAAAAUUCUUAUCAUCACAUCGGUACAUUCCGAAGGAGGAGCAGGACUUCUUGAGGGUUCUGCAUGGAUGCAACGUUGAGACUGUGAGGCAGAUGCAGCUGAUGUCAUGGUUCUACGGAAGCGCUCAAGACGUACCCUACACGACACAAGACAUUGCUAAUCAACGAGCUAAGUUCCGCUUAGAGCACCGCCACAAGGACGUUGGGAGCACAAUUGCGUACUUCCAAGAGAUGAGGGCCAAAGAUUCCUAUUAUAGAAUCAAACUUGAUGAUGAGGACAGGGUUGAGAACUUGUUCUGGAUAGAUGGCGCAUCACGCAGGGCAUAUGCAAAGUAUAAUGAAUGUUUUUCGUUCGACACGACAUACAUUACAAACAUGUACAAGAUGCCUCAAUCCAUCUAGUUUGGGUGUGGCUUCGUUCGAAACGAACUAAAGGAGAACUUUGUGUGGCUGUUUAACACAUUCCUCCAUGCAAUAGGUGGUGUUGCCCCAAAAAACAUCAUCACAGACCAGGACUUUGCAAUGAGGAGUGCGAUCGACGAGGUCUUCUUGAACAUAAUACACAGAAAUUUCCGCUGGCAUAUAAUGAAGAAGGCGCGGGAGAAACUUGGAAAUAUUAUGGCUGAUGAUAAACCACUAAACAAAGCGUUCAAAGACUGUGUCGACAAUAGCUUGACUGAGGAAGAGUUUGAAAACAAAUGGUGGGCAAUGAUGGAUGAAUAUGGCCAGAUCGACAACGAACAUUUUCACUGGCUGUGCGAAAAUAGGAAAUGUUGGGCCCCGGUGUACUACAUGAAGCAUUUCUUUCCAUUCUUGCAGACAACUGCAAGGAGCGAGGGAUUCAAUGCUGUGCUCAAGAAGUACGUGAACCCCAACAACUCAUUGAUUGAAUUUGCAACUCAAUACACUGCAAUCCAGGAGAAAGUAAUGGUGGCUGUGGCGAAAGAGCAAGUGGACACAAUUUACAAAGAGUCAGACAUGUAUUCAUUGACCCCAAUCGAGUUGCAAAUGCGAGGGAUAUACACACAAAAUCUGUUCUGCAAGUUCCAGGUAGAGAUGAAGCUAAAGACUGCUUACGGAUGCGACACUUUGCAAGAUGGAACCUUCAGGAUGUGGUCGCUCCGAGGCAUACUACCAAAGUAUGGGGAUAGGGACUACCAUGUGCAGGCGAACAAGGAUGAAGGGGUAUACUCAUGCACUUGCUGCAAGUUUGAUCGCGAUGGGCUAUUGUGCGCACACAUACUACGAGUAUUGGAAUAGAUUGGAGUGUAUGAGAUACCAAUGAGGUAUAUCCUAGAUAGGUGGACAUGGGAUCCAGAGGAGGAUCUUGUUGAGCCUGAUUACCAACAACCAACACUUCAUAAGGGUAUGACAGAGCAAGGAAAAAAUAUCAUGAGAUAUACAUCUAUUCUGAAUGAUUUCAAGGAACAAGCAAAAGACGCUUGCACUACUGAUGAAGGGAUGGCAUUGGCAAGGAAACACGUUAAUGCUUUCGGAGACGACAUGGAUGCGCUAAAAAAGAGGCAGAUAAAGAAAGCAAGAAAGGAAAAAGAUGAGGGAAAAGAAGCACAAUUGUUUUCUUCACCACCAGGGACUAGUGCCACUGAAGGUGUCCCAGUAGCGCAUCAAGGAAGCAUUCCUGUCACGCACGUGUGUGGCAAUAUUUUUCAGUUCCAGGGCUCACAUACCGAGGGAUCCCAAUCAUCAAACACAAGAGUGAUACUAGACCCACCAAAGUCUACUACAAAAGGGCGUGCAAGAGAGAAAAGAUUUCAGCACCCAUUUUGUCGUGGAAUUGUCACGUCAGAUGUCCUAGUGUGA